CGCCCAGCGCAGGCUUCCUCCUGAAACCAGCACGAUCCUCGCUGAGCUUCGGCAGGCCGGCUCCGGGGCUCCAAAGCCCAGGACCCCAUGGGGGAAGGAGCCUCUGCUCGAGGCGGAGGGGACGCAGAGAAGGGGGCCUCUCAAAUGUGGGGUCUCUGAACUGCGCCCACCCCCUGAAGGCGCGGGGCUCCCCCGCCCCGGGGAAAGGCACCCGUGGGAGGCAGGAAAUGGAGACCAGAGGUGAACCUGCAUGUUUUGGAAUGCAUUCCAUUCUAAGUAAGCGUUUCUCAAGUGGUUUCUCAAUUAAUCUGACAGCACAUUAAGCUUAACCCCCAAGGAGCAGAAACCCAAGCUGGGAAGGAGGAGCCCCAGAAAGAGGGAGAAGGAGACUGCACUCUCUUCUCCCGCCAGAGGCCUCAAGCAGUUCUGAGCUGAAGGAAUAGAGCAGCUUCCUUGUGAGCAUUCCCCUAAUAUGUCACCUGCACCUGAAUGCAGGGCUCGGAUUCGGCUUCUGGUGGACCUGGCUGAAUCAGUCAAUAUCAGCUGGAUGAAUGAAGAACUUUUACUGAGAGGCUUUCUGGGACUCUGGAAUGCAUGGCCCAAGGAAACAUUGGGCCACGUGGAAGAAAGUCCUUCUAGGGUUAGAUUAGAUGUCCUCUUUCAGGUGAUGUACAGGCUGAGGACUUUAGGAAUUGUGGGCUAUUGCUCCUACUUGUCAUGUACUUGGAGGGCUAGGAGGAUGGAAGGGUAAGUUUUAUCAUUGUUCGCCUCAUUGGCUCAUCCGGGCUGGCCUAGAUGUGCUUGUCAUGAACAGGAAGCCUGUGAAGGGAAGUGUGUGUGUGUGUGUGUGUGUGUGUCUCACGUACCUGGUUCGGGAGUCCAGGAAGGCCUUGUUGACUUGGACCUUGGCCUGACUCACAGUAUCGGAGAUGGCAGAGGUUCUGGUAGUCUGCGCUUGGGGUUGGAGUGGGGAGCAGGAAGUAGGGUGUCAGACACCACUCCUUUGCGAUGUCUUCUGCUUUUGUCUCCCUCUUUCUCAGCCAUUACCCCCACCCCUCAAAUCUGGGUAGGCAGGAGAUCAAGAUUAGGAAAGUUUCAUAAGAGUCCUUAAGGGGAAAAAGCACAGAAUGGGAAGAAUACUCUUCGAUCUUCAACAAGAUGUCAAAAUUGCUCUUUGAGAUCUCACUAGAAUGCCCAGAGAUGGGAUGAAGAGGGAGUGUGGCCACUCAGGGUGGCUUGGGCUACUGGACUGUGGGGAUUUCUCUGGUUCCUGGUGAGAUGGUCUUGUGGACUAUCUCAAAUUCAUCAAAGAGGACCCACUGAUCACCAGGACCCUGACGUACAGAAGGGGAUGGCAUGAGAGUAAUGGUGGGAUUCCCUGUUCCCUCUUGUAUUGGGGUCUGGAGGAUGGAGGACAGGAUCUGUUUUCUCAACAAGGAGAGUGUAGUGGGUUAAAUAAUGGCCCUCCCAAAAUUCACAUCUGCAUGGAACCUCAGAAUGUGACCUUAUUUGGAAGUAGGGUCUUUGUAGAUGUUAUGAAUUAAAAUGAGGUCAUACUGCCUUAGCAUCAGCCCUAAAUCCAAUAAAUGGUGGUUUUAUGAGAAGAGGAGAGGACACACAGAGAAAAAGGCCAUGCAAAGACUGAGGCAGAGAUUGGAGUGUUGCAGCUGCAAGCCAGGGUACACCAAGGAUACCAGGGCCACCAGAAGCUGGAAGAAGAAAGGAAGCAUUCUUCCCUAGAGCCUUCAGAGGGAGCACAGCCCUGCCAACACCUUGAUUUUGGACUUCUAUCCUCCCGUACUGUGAGAGAAUACAUUUCUGUUGUCUUAGGCCAUCCAGUUGGUGUGCUUUGUGACAGCAGCCCCAGAAAACCCGUAAAGGGAGACACUCACCUCUUGUGGUAGAU